rnacentral:rRNA from 1 species
UACAGAGGGUGCAAGCGUUAAUCGGAAUUACUGGGCGUAAAGCGUGCGUAGACGGUUAUUUAAGUCGGAUGUGAAAGCCCCGGGCUCAACCUGGGAAUUGCAUUCGAGACUGAAUAGCUAGGGUACGGUAGAGGGAAGUGGAAUUUCCGGGUGUAGCGGUGAAAUGCGUAGAUAUCGGAAGGAACAUCAGUGGCGAAAGCGACUUCCUGGACCAGUACCGACGUUCAGGCACGAAAGCGUGGGGAGCAAACAGG